UACGUAGGGUGCAAGCGUUGUCCGGAAUUAUUGGGCGUAAAGAGCUCGUAGGCGGUUUGUCGCGUCGAAUGUGAAAACCCGGGGCUCAACCCCGGGCCUGCAUUCGAUACGGGCAGACUAGAGUUCGGUAGGGGAGUCUGGAAUUCCUGGUGUAGCGGUGAAAUGCGCAGAUAUCAGGAGGAACACCGGUGGCGAAGGCGGGACUCUGGGCCGGAACUGACGCUGAGGAGCGAAAGCGUGGGUAGCAAACAGG
rnacentral:rRNA from 1 species